rnacentral:lncRNA from 1 species
UAUUACUUAAUAAUUAUUGUUAUCAUAUGUAAAAGCCAAAACUAAAAAUGGGCUAUUGGAUCUAAGUUUGGGGACAGCCAGAUCCAUAAGGUUGAGGAUACCUUGACCUUGGUAAGGGUUUUUCAAAAAAAUCUGAUUUCAUAAGCCAGAUUUCCACUCUCUCUCUCUCUCAAACCCUUUUCCCCAAAUAUUGUUCUGUCUUCUCUCUAAAUUUCUCAUUCACUGAACCAAUCAAAUUUUAAUUUGAAAGUGUUUCCUUGCUCACUGCACGGAGGGCUUCAAUUUGAACCGGGCAUUCUUCCAUUCUGACCGGUAAGUAUAUUUUCUCUUUUCUCCGCUAUUUUCGAAACUUAGAGCUUGGGGUUCUACUGAUUUUAUGCAGUUAGAACCCUCCUUUUUCUAAUUUCUAUUAAGUUCUCACUCCAAGAGUUAUUCUCUACCGCCGAUAUGGUGGUUUAUAGGUACUGUUGUUUUUCUGUCCGGGUGAGAAUUUCUAAUAGGACGUCUUCAAAUUAGCUUACCGUGAAAACCCAAGGUAAGGGGAGCUAGUUAUUUUUGUUUGAAAUUAUUUAUGAGAUAUAUGCAUGUUGAAUCCUGAAUUGUGUGUUGAUUUAAACUGUUAUGUACCUGUUGAGUAUAAAUUGACUUGUGUUAUGAUGUUGAAAAUUGUGCAUGUAAAAAUGUAUUGGUUGUAAGCUGUUAUGAUGGGAACGAUUGUUGAAAUAUAGAUGGGUUUAGUGAAGAUAAGAGGAAUGGAGUUUUCUGCAUAUUUAUUAUAUAAGUAUGGGUACUGUAAGAUUGUUUGAGAAAUAUAAAAAGGAAGAAGUGUUGUGAAUUGACAGAGGAGAUGUGAUUUAUAUUUUUAUAUCUUUACCGUGCCGUGUAAAAAUUUCUUAGUAUGUCUUAUGAAUAUAUUUUCUUGCACUUCCACAAUUUUCAUAAUUAUUAUGAUUCCAUAAGGAUUCUGUAAUUUAUAACUAAAUUUAAGCAUUUUUUUAGAAUGUAUUUUUAUCUUAGAUUUUAAAAUAUACAAUUUAAAAUAUAUUUAUUUUAUUUUGAAAUAGACAAUUUAAAAUACAAAAGUUAUAAUUUAAGUUAUAUAUUCUGAAAAAAAAAAUUUAGAUUGUAUAAUGUUAAAUAUAUUUUGUAUUUUAUAUUCUAUGAUGUAUAAUUUAUGUUUAAAUUGGUUGGUCACGAGAUGCAGAGACCUUGUAUAAAUAAUUCUUAGUUUAUGUGAUGCUUUUAUUAAAGAAAUGAAUCAUACUUGUUCUUUUUUAAAAGUUUGGAGAAAACCUUUUAAAGGAUAGGAAUACUGUAGCUUAGUUUUGGAAAUAGCAAUGCUAAGAUUAAAUAGUAUAUUACGUUAUAUUAUAUAUUACAUAAUAUUAUAUAUUACAUAAUAUGCUUAUUCUAUAAUUUUUGUGGUGAAACUUUUAUAUUAUAUAAUAAUUAUCAACUUAUACAUAUUAGUAUAUAUUAGGUAUAUAACAGUAUAGAAAUGUUAACUUAGUUUUGUUAAUAUUAUAUUAUAAUAUAUUAAUAUUAGAAUUCUGUAAGUUUGAUCUCUGAUUAAUUUAUUGACUAGCAUAAAUUUAAAUUAUAUACUAUUAUCAUUAUAAUAGUACCUUUAUGUUUUGUUAGUAAAUAAACAUAUAAAUUAAGAGAUGAAACAAAUGAAGAAUUAUUAUGUAUGUAAAAUAAAUUAUAAAAGUUGAAUAAUUUUCAUGUGUUGUGGUAAUAUUUUAUUUGUUGAAGUAAAACCUUGUGUUUGACUAGUUAAUAUCUACUACUGAAAUUCAAUUAUUUAUGGAGCAGUUACUUUCGAUUUGUGAGUAAUGUAUAUUGUUGAGAUUAUGUAUAUGUUGAUUGGAGAAAAAAAAAGUAUAUGAUUACAAAGUGAUGAAAGUAUGAUCCAAGUGGUAAACUAAGUUUUAUCUGUGUAGAAUCUCUCGGUGAGAUUCUUAGUCAUUAUGACGCUUCAAUGGUCAAUCAAACUCACUUAGAGAGGUUGAACCAUGUGGUGAGAAGUAGCAGGAGGUCCUUAGUCUUGGGGGCUCCCAGUAUGCCUCAAGGCCCGGAACGGACUAACCUCGUGAGUGUGGCAGGGUGGGGAACCCAAGUUUCAUAAGUCACCACGGGUGCAAGACUUGCCAUAGUCUGACUCUUAUUUUAAAGUCCGGACGAGUCGAGUCUAGAAAAUAACAUGUAUAGGAUGUGUGUCUUACUUUACUUGAUUUUGAGUUUGUUCUUGAAUGUUGUUUACGGUUAAUAGCAUGCUUUUUUUAUAUAAUUAACUCACCCUUGCAUAUGCUUGUGUUUGUGCCAUGUUAUAUGCUUUUCUUUUGCAAUGAUCAUCCACUUAGAUGUGAGCAGAGGAGAAUGAGGUCUCUGUGGAUAACGUCUUGGAGGGCAAUGAAGAUGUUGAGGCUUAGAUCCUCUAGACCUUGUUCACUUGAGUAGAUUUGAGGGAGAGUAAUUGAGAGGAUUUGAUGAUAAUUUUUUUUAUUGUUUAUUUGAAUAAAUUUGAAAAUAAGUGAGAGUGAAUUUGGAAGUAAUUUUUUUUAAUCUGUCAUAUAAAUUAAAUCCUACACUAAUUCUUACAAAUUUUACUUCCAAAUAUACUCUCACUUACCUCCAAAUCUAUUCAAAUAAACAAAAAAAAAAAAUUAUUUUUAAAUCCUCUCAAUUACUCUCUCCCAAAUCCACUCAAGUGAACAAGGCUUAGGAUUUCUUUUCCUAUAUGUACUUUUGAAACACGGUUACCUUAUGCUGUUUUGUGAUACUUUAGCAUUUUAAGUUUUAAAUUUUUAGCCACUUUCUGGAUAACUGUAAUAUUUGUUUAAGAACCUAAAGUACUCUUUAACUGCUUUAUAGUAUUAUUCAUAAUGACGUCUUUAUUAUAUUAUAUAUCUUUAUAAUAUAAUUGGGAUGUCACAUCAUAGGCCA